AAACAUACCCGAGAUGAUUGCAUUUUUAUUUCUUUUUUUACAAUUUGUAUAUUGAAACUAGCCGCGUUGCAGAAUGGAGUUGUUGAAGCAAACUAUUUAUUUCUUACUUUUUAUCUUCUUUUGUUUCCAUUUUGUUCAAGCCGCGCCUUGUCGGAAAGCAGUCCAACCUGUCCAUGGAAACUAUGAAACGGCGCGCCGAAUGUCUAAUCAAAAAAAUAGCAUACAGUUGGGGAAGCCGGAGAAGAUACCAGUGCCAAUGCCAACCCAAUCAACGAUAGACCCGAAAAUUCUAGUAAUCGUGAGUCAGUUAAAGAAAGGCACGCUGUUGCAAAACAAAGAAAAUUACGAAAAACUAUUGCAACGUUUGAAAGAAGACUUCUAUCCAACGACCACUAAAGCACCAACUUGUUCAAAAUGUAAUAAAUCAUAAAAAUCUCGUGACAUCGAAGUUUUUUUUUUAUAUUC